AUUAAUAAAGAGUGCUAAAGU
rnacentral:miRNA from 1 species